rnacentral:tRNA from 1 species
GCGGGUGUGUUGUAGUGGUAGCAAAGGAUGUUCCCAACAUUCAAGCGCCGGUCCGAUUCCGGCCACCCGCU